GAUGAACGCUGGCGGCGUGCCUAAUACAUGCAAGUCGAGCGAACAGACGAGGAGCUUGCUCCUCUGACGUUAGCGGCGGACGGGUGAGUAACACGUGGAUAACCUACCUAUAAGACUGGGAUAACUUCGGGAAACCGGAGCUAAUACCGGAUAAUAUAUUGAACCGCAUGGUUCAAUAGUGAAAGACGGUUUUGCUGUCACUUAUAGAUGGAUCCGCGCCGCAUUAGCUAGUUGGUAAGGUAACGGCUUACCAAGGCGACGAUGCGUAGCCGACCUGAGAGGGUGAUCGGCCACACUGGAACUGAGACACGGUCCAGACUCCUACGGGAGGCAGCAGUAGGGAAUCUUCCGCAAUGGGCGAAAGCCUGACGGAGCAACGCCGCGUGAGUGAUGAAGGUCUUCGGAUCGUAAAACUCUGUUAUUAGGGAAGAACAAAUGUGUAAGUAACUGUGCACAUCUUGACGGUACCUGAUCAGAAAGCCACGGCUAACUACGUG
rnacentral:rRNA from 1 species